UCUUUUCAAGAUCAGAAUUAAUUUCAAAACUCUAUUGCAUUUAAUGCAAUAUAAAAGCUUUCUUUCCUUUUUCAAAACCCUAGAAACACUAUUCUCUCUUCACACAACAAACCAGCCGGCCCUAUCACUCUCCUUCUCUCCUUCUUCUCUUUUCUUUGAACAGCAAGCCAAACAAAAAAAAAAACCCAGCAGAGUUCUUCUCCUUCCUUCUUCUACAGCCCAGCCGAAACACCACUUUCUCUCCCUUUUUCUUUGCUGCCAAACAGCCCAGCCGAGACUCCCUUUAUUUCUCCUCUUCUCUUUCAAGCUCUUCAAGAGCUUUCACACAUAAACCUACAAAAAUAGACAAACCAGAAAUAAUAACAAAGAUAAAAUAAUCUUUGUUUGUUGAUGAGAGUAGACCCAAAAGUUAUGUGCAGAAAAAUAAAAGCAAAAGACAAAAAAAAUUGAUUUCGGAGUUCCCCUUGAAAUCAAGAGUACAUCUCCGUCAAGCUUCCCUCAAAGACGCUUGAUGCUUCACUAUGAUGUCAAAACCGGUUACAAGUUCAUGGAGAUUCCAUGCUACAAAUCACAGCAGGUGUGUUUCAAGAGAAAAAUCACAGCUGCUCCCUUAUUUCUCUGCUGGCCGAAAUGUGAUGAUAUCCAAAGUGGAAGGUUGAACCACUUAUUUAUAAUGUUUUUGUUGUUGCUGGCUGUGUUGUUUGAACUGAGAAAUAACUGUAUUCUGUUGAGAUAUUUUGCCUUGAAUAGCUGAGAGUUUGUUAGAGUCUUGAUA